ACCCCCAAAUCCGACCACUCUCCCUCCCUCAUUCACUCUCAUCUGAUUUUUGAAGACUCUCUCAAGUGUUCUCUCCAUUUUCAACCCCAAGAACACCAAAGAAACUUGGAAGCUAAGUCUUGGUCUAGGAAGGGUUUUCCCUAAGUUGGUUAGGGUUUUUGAAAGGUUUUGGAGGAGCCAAAGCUAAUAGGAAGGUCCAAACCUUAAGCAAGAACACCAAAGAGUAUUGGCUAAGCGUAACUGGACUGAACGUUGGAGGGUGAAAACUUGCUGAGCGCUAAGGACUCCAAGUAAAAGCAAGGGCAAGGCAGAGCAGUGAGCGCUGGAGUCUUCCUUGCAAAUGUACAUGUGGACCGACCUUUUGGGAAGCCUUUUUAUUUUUGGAAAUGUUGUGUAAUUUUCCUAAACUAGGCUCACUCUAAUCUUUAUAAAACAUGUUUGUAACUAAAUGUUAAGUAUGGCCAUACGACUUUUUAAAAAGUUUUUUUU